rnacentral:rRNA from 1 species
AUACGUAGGGGGCGGGCGUUGUCCGGAAUGAUUGGGCGUAAAGGGCGCGUAGGCGGCCCGGGAAGUCUGGAGUGAAAGUCCUGUUUUUAAGAUGGGAAUUGCUUUGGAUACUGUCGGGCUUGAGUGCAGGAGAGGUAAGUGGAAUUCCCAGUGUAGCGGUGAAAUGCGUAGAGAUUGGGAGGAACACCAGUGGCGAAGGCGACUUACUGGACUGUAACUGACGCUGAGGCGCGAAAGUGUGGGGAGCAAACAGGAUUAGAUACCCUGGUAGUCCACACUGUAAACGAUGAAUGCUAGGUGUAGGGGGUAUCGACCCCUUCUGUGCCGCAGUCAACACAAUAAGCAUUCCGCCUGGGGAGUACGGCCGCAAGGUUGAAACUCAAAUGAAUUGACGGGG